rnacentral:lncRNA from 1 species
CCAUGUGUCAUUAGUAUAUCAAUGCCCUCAGGAAUAAGGUUCCACUUGUCUAGCAAAGACUGACCUCUGGGUAGGUUAAAGCCCCAUCCAUUAAACCACGGUGUCCAUGGGGCACCGUAUAUCCGGAAUCCUUUAACUGUUACUUCUGAAUCUUGUAAGUAAAUACUAUUUGUCAGGAGUGACUGAACAUUGUCAAAGUCCUCUGGUUUCAAUUUGGACACAGAAGGAAAGCGGUAGUAAUCUUGUUUAACAAGGUCUGCCAUGAAUUCCUUAUCAAAUGUCAGUUCAUGAUUCCCAGCAAUCACUAUUUUAUAUUCAUAGGGCAGGUUUCCUAACCAGUCAUUAAACUUCUUAACCUCUGAGGGCAGUCCCAGC